UUUGUUAAUUCAAAAGUAUCUCAUGCCACAUCUUCUUCACAAAUUAUGUGAUCACAAAGGUUAUUAUGGUCGCUUGGAAAAUGUUGCAAAUCUAAAAUAGCACAUUCACAAAACUCACGUUGCAAAACAUGAGCAAUCCAUAACAAGCUAUUCUUUAUAAUAUUCAUCAUCAUGUAAAAAUUGGGCUUAACUAACACAUCUCUAAAAAUUCAAGAAGAUGGUUUAGGCUUGCAAGAGCAUACUUCAAUAUCAAAGGACAAGUAGAGGACCACUGCCUGGUAACGUUUUGUCUGGUUACCAUCUUUAGGAUCAUUGGCUUCGAACGUGAUGUAAGAGCGUGAUUGCAGCAGAUGGGUGAAAAUUUGCUCUCAAAACCUUGAGAAGUUCCAAACUUGUAUCCUACAAACAUGCAUCACCAUAACCAACACACUAAUUAUAUAAGCUAAUUAAGAAACUCAUCAGCAAACAAGAGUAAAAAGUUAUUUGAUUCAUUCGAUUACUAACCGUCUUGUCGUUGUAGUAGGAGAUAGCCAUGUUGGACAACCUGUUGAGCAAAUCUAAUGAGUCAGACCCGAUACAAAUUACAUAAAGUCUCUUUAGCCACAAAAUCAACUAAAAAGUUUGCAGAUCGAUAAGAAAGGAGAAAGUCCAAACUUCAAAGAGUUCUAAAGGAGCUAAAUUUUAAUUACUGUACAUGUCCAAACAAAAAAAUCUAUGAUAGGUUAUUUUUCCAAACAAAUUUUUUUUUUUUUUGUUGCUUCGGCCCCUAAUUUCCUAGAACCGGCCCUGGCCAUUAGGAAAAACAUUUUUGAUACAACAUUUUAUGUUUUCUUGUCAAACUUUCAAAUAAGGCCCAAUACACGGAGACACGUCCCUAAAAUGCGCUUAAUAUAAUUGGAAUGAUGCGAAAAACAUAUAUAUAUAUAUAUAUAUAUAUAUAUAUAUAUAUAUAUAUAUAUAUCAGUUUUUUUUUUUCUUAUUUACUUUUGACACAUGUCAAUCAGACGCUUUUUACAUUUAAAUUAGAAUAGUUAAUCAAACAUUUCCACAUAGCAACAAAGAUGACAAAACAAUUGUGACGAAUUAGUUACAGAUUAGCGACCAUAUAGUUGGUUACAAAAUCAUAACGAAAAAUAUCACAAAGUUGUGACGAAAAUUUACGGUGACAAGUUUAGUCUUAAUAACUCAAGUUUUUUCUUUUUUUUUUUUUUUUUUUUUUGCGGUCUAGUGGCAGAGGAAGCUUUGGAAAAUGGUGAAACUCCCAAACCUGAGUUCGAUUCUCCCUGGAAACAAAAACACAUUUGUUUGGGAAGUCUGUCAGUUGGACCUUGGCCUAAUUGGUUUACCUGGUAGCCAGAAAUGCAGGCGGCCUGACUACCCCCUGGCACUUAGUCGGAAGGCAUUCCAAACUCGGGAUAGACAGAGUGGUAGCCCGUAAGGGCCUAACCGUUAACACGGUGGACCAGUCCACUAUGUAGCACCUCGGUGCGUUCCUACCGGGGCCGACCGGAUAGCCGAUAGUGUUUAUCAAAAAAAAAAAAACUUAGCAUAGAGAUAGUGGUAAUUUAAAUUUGAAUUUUAUGUAAUCGAUCUGAAUCAUACCGAAUCAAAGCAAAUUAAAAAUCAAACAAAAGUUUUGUUCUAAUGAUUAUAACAAACAAAGCAGAAGAAGUAGAGAAGGGAGACAAAUGCUUUUACUAAAUCCUAGUAUGAUUUUAGAAAGAAUAUAAAGAAGAAAACCCUUUUAUCAAAGGAAAAAAAGAGAAAAGAAUAUAAAGGUCCAAAAGCAUGAUCUAGUUUCUCCGUUUUGUUCGCCUUUUAUUAUAUAAGUAUAAUCUUAAAACGGAAAAUUAUGUUUAUGUGAUCCUGAGAGCGCGUGGAAACACUUUCCGAAAAGAGAAUCAUACUAAAAGCUUAUAAGACUCUCUAGCGAAAAAGAAUAAAGUAAAGUACUUGUGGGAGUUGUGGAGCAGUCACGUGUUGUCCCACUUGCGUUAACUCGUGUAAUAAUACAUUAUAACAGUCAGUUGCCGACAAAAAUAAAAUAUACAGAACUAGUACUUGUGGCGCAGUCAAGUGUCGUCCCACUUGCGCUAGCCUGUCGAGUGUCGACAACAAGAUUCCCACUUGUUCACAAAACAAGAUUUUUCUUGUACUACAAAAGAAAGAAGAAGAAGGUAUUAUUUUUUAUGCAUUAGAAAAUGAAAAGAAGAGAGUACUACCUAUUUGAAUUCAAACGCUUUAAAAAAUACGGACGUGUAAACUUUAGACUACAGCUUGCAUGAUCGAACUUGUGACAUGAGAGUUGGGUGGGCCCGUGGACCACUACACUAAUUAAUUGACAUGUCAAACACGCUUUUCUAUCUAGUAAGGUGUUUUUUUUUUUUUUAACUAUCUACUAAGGUUAUUUGUUUUUAACUUUUUAUCGAUUUUUAAUAUCUUUUUGGGUCUAGUAUUCAUAUAGGUAACUAUAUAUAUCGCAAUGCAAAAAUACUAUUGUGUUUUCUUUUUUUUUCUAACAUACAUAAUUUUUUUUUUUAUUAUCAUCUAUGUUGUUUAAAGUUUUCUUUUAAUAAAAAGAAACAGUUUUGAAAAUAUAAAACAUAUUAGAAAUAUGAUGUAUUCUAACAUUUUAAUCUCUAAAAACUUUUUAAUUACCACUGAGACAAAAUUUCUCUUUCAAAUACACAAUUAAGGAACUAUAACGUAAAUCUAAAAUGUAAAUUUAUUAAUAAUGGUCAAUACUAUAUUAUAAUGUGAUUUUAAUACUUUUGAUUUAUUAGCUUUUACGGGUUGUAAUUUGCUCUACAAAACCAUAUCGUAUUGGCCUUAUUAUACUUUUUUUCUCUAUUGGAUUUCAAUAAAAACUGAAAGUUUGAGAAAACAGAGAGAAACAGAACAUUAUCUAUGAUGAAGAUUAAAACAAGAGAUUUAUAAAGAAAAUUAGAGUCUUAAGUUCACGUACGACGAUUCCUUUCAAUUUAGUUUUGUAGCCUCGUUGGACCUCCUAACACAAGAUAUGAGGUGAGCCAUCCAUCCCUUAUAACACUUCAGGCAAUCUCCCUAACUAAAAAAUUAUCUUUCGGUGAAGAGAGGUUGAAAAUUACUUCUCGUAUCACCUAAAAAAUAUUGUUAAGGAUGGAACGAUAUUUAGGCCACUCUGACGGUUUUUCUAUUAGACCAAAGUUCACAAGAAUCUACAUGCAUAUCAAGAGAGCAUAAGAUGCAUUAUAGCUCCGCUGAGAUAUGUUUUACCAUUGGAAGGAAUGCAUCACCAGCAUGGAAUAAAGUGUCUCCCAUAUAUUCUCGUAGUAUUCACGCACCUCCGCGGAAAGCUUCCCCAUUUAGGCCUUACUAUCUUCACCAUCGUUUAUAUGCCAUGAGAAAUUUAGAUUUUAAUUAAAUUGGUGAUACUUUAGAAGUCUAGAAUUUUUAUGAUCAUUAAAACAUAAUAUUCCAAAUCAUGAUAAUUACUUUGCCAAAAAACUUUUUGUUUUAUAUUUUAUUACAUUUGUUUUACACAACAAAAUAUUUUCACUAUAUUUUAUUUUCUAACAAAUAUCUUUUGUAAUUAUUUUAAGGGUUUUUAGUAAUAAAACCCCUCAACUAAAAAUAAAUUGUAAAAAAACCCCUCAAUUAUAUAUUUAGUGAAAAAACCCCUCAACUUAAAAUCUGUAACAGAAAUCUCCCUCCAUCGAUAUUUUCUUGAAAAUUGGACGAACUACUCUUAAAUUGAAAUUGAAAACUGACAUAUAUACACUUAAACAACAUGAAUAGUCAACAAAACCAACAAAAUAUUCUUCUAUCCGAUUAUAAAUCUCCAAACUUAGCUCUAAAAUUCUGAAAUUGAAAAAUCUAAAUUGAUGAGCCCAAAUUUAUCAUAAUGAGAUUCUCUGAAAUUUAUAUGGUGUUAAAGUCGAUUAGGAGAGAUUCUAAAAAAUAUUAUGUUUUAAUUUGAACUGUAGGUCGUCCAAUUUUAACGAUACUAGGGAGAAUGUGAUUUUCAUUAACAGAUUUGAAAUUGAGAGGAAUUUUCAUUAACAAAUUUGAAGUUGAAGGGAUUUUUUCACUAAAUAUAUAAUUGAGAGAUUGUCUUACAAUUUAUCUUUCGUUGAACGGUUUUCUUACUAAAAACCCUUAUUUUAAGCGUCUCAACUCAAAGUGAUAAGAGAUUCUCUCUUUUCCGAACAAGUUCAAAGAUUUUAGUUUCCUCCAUCUAACCGUUUAUAAAAAAAUCGUAAAAUUUAGAAAUCUACAAAUAUAAACAAUUUACCAUCUACCUAUAGAAAGAUAACAAUUAUCACUUAGUAUAAUAUCUACAUAUACAUUUUUAUAGAGUUUUUUUGCAUUAAUUCAUUUGGAUCCGGGUUUUACCCGGAUUUAACUCUAUCCGGAUCUUGGAUAAGGAAUUUUAGGAAUGUUGUCUUAAUUUCAAACUGAUAAAUGAAGCCAUGUUGUCUUUAAUUCAUCUACUUACUCCGUUUAGUGUUUCUUUAAUUACAAAGAAGUUACCUAUUUUAAUGGUAAAUAAUCUUUCAUAUUUAUGACCCUAAUAAAUAGCCAAUUUUAAUGAAAAAUCGUUUUUCAUAUUUAUGCUCAUAAUAAAUGUCCAGAUUUUAACAAUAAAUAUAUUAUGAAAUUAUAAAGAAAAAUGUAUUUAUUUCUUAACAGUAUAUAUAUAUAUAUAUAUAUAUAUAUUAUGUUAAUAAAUUUGUGUAAAUACUCCAAUAAUAAGCUACAUCAUUUUUCUUUUACAAUAACAGAUUAAAUAUAGGCAAUUCCCCAUUUAAAUUGCAAUAAAUUUAAAAUCAAAAUAACAAUUAAUAUAUACAUUCAUAAGGAAAUCAUAAUAAAAUAUGUUUAUUUGAAGAUUAUAUAUCCUAAUCUUCACAUAAUCCGUAAUUAUGUUUUUGAUAUAUUUGAAUAUCUAAUAUUAAAUUUCUAAAGGAUUCUCAAAAUAUUUUUUAUAAUAAAUAUUGUUUUUACGAAUAAUAUUUUGUUUUGUUAUAAAAAGUAAUAUUUGUUAUUUUCCUAAAUUAUUUUUGUAAUUAAAUUACAUAAAUAUUAAUAAUAAUUUGUCUACACCAUCAAAUGAAAAUAGUUAGCUAUAUAAUCUUUUAUUUAAUAUUACGUAAUAUAUAUAUAUAUAUAUAUAUAUAUAUAUAUAUAUUUUGGUAAUAUUUUAUGAUGUGGGUGAACAAAUUAUUUUCGUAUUUAUGUAAACAAAACAAUAAAAUCUAAAUUAGUUUAAAAUUUGAGAUACUAUAAUCCCAAAAAUAAAACUAAUUGGAAACUAAUCGCAACAAUCAUUCUACAUAAAUGGCAUAUUCUUUACAACAUUACUAAAUCGCAUUUACUGCAUUAUUCGUUUCCAAUUAUGAUUAAAAAUCUUUGAUUAAUUUAAUGGUAUUAAACUCAUAUCUACAUAUACAUUUUUACAGGUUUUUUUUGCUUUUAAUCAUUUGGAUCCGGGUUUUACCCGGUUUAAACCUAUUCGGAUCUAGAAUAAGAGAUUUAAGGAAUAUUGUAAUAAAAACGACAUUUAAGACUAAAUUAAACAUACAAUUCGUUUUAAUCUUAUUUCCUUAACUACUUCCCACAUUAAUUGGUUCUAUUCCUUUUUAUCAAUAGUAGCAUUAAAGAUUUUCCGUUUACGAAUCUUGCAAAAAUCUCUGCUUAGUCCACGAUUAGUUUCUAAAAUAAAAUCUCCGAGACAUUUGAUAGCAUUUAAUUAAUACCAAAUUAUCAUUUAAUUCUACAUAUCUCUAACCAAAAAACCGUCAUUAAUAUAGAUAAUUACACAUAUAUUUAUGUUUCCUUAUUCCUUAACUUCUUCCCAUAUUAAUAGGCUAUAUUACUCUUUAUCUCGAGAUGAUUUUCGAAUAUUUAUGCCAUCUUAACUAAUUACAUCCACAUACCAUAUAUCAUCUAUAUUCUCUUUAUAUUAUGCAAUAAAAUAUUUUUAAAACAUAAUUAUGGCUAAUUAAAUUCUUUCCAUUAUAUGGUUCCCUUCUCUAAUUGAAUCCAUAAUUAUCGCCCAAGAAAAUCUCAACGAUGAUACCAUAAUUAUAUACUCUUCCAUAUUUUUCUUAACAUUUGAUUUUAAGAAACAAAGUUAUGACUAUAAUUAUUUUUUUAAUUCGGUUUAAUGUGAUUUCCUAAACUAAUUACCACAUUAAUCGGCUAUAUUCCUUUUAAAUGGUUGCUUAGCUUUUUUUUAAGAUUCUCUGCAAAACCAAAUGAUUUACAAUCUUUUUCAAAUAAAUUUUGUUAUAUAACGAUUUCCUAAUCUUUCCUUAAACAUAUCCUAAACUUUCAUUGUAUAUAAUAUCUUUGAUUUUCUACUUUCUCUCCAAGAUAUUAUCAAACUACCUUAACAAUAAACCUAGAUGCCUACCUACCCUAUAAAUACCACACUUUUACUCGAUUAGAAAACUCAUCAAACAAAUACCUCUUCUUACCCAUUCCAAUCUUUAUUUGUUAUAUGAACUUUCAUUUUUCUGAUUCAUGAAUUUAAUAAACAUUUGAUGUCUUGCGCAGAUAAUCCUAUACAAGAUGAGCAACCCAUUGAUGAUUGCCAUUAUCAAGAGCAUAUGCUUUUAAUUUACGUCAGAUUCUUUCAUAUGGUUAGUUUUUUUUAUUCACCCUAUUUUUUCUAGGUAAAUCUUCAUGUUUAAUGAUAAUCUUAAUAUAUAUAUAUAUAUAUAUAAGAUAACUACAGUUUGAUAGCAUUGAUUUUUAAAAAACUUAAAAGAAAAAAUAAAAAACGAAAAUACAAACUAUAACCCAAAUGUUUUGAAUUCCACUCAUGCUUACAAAUGAGAUCAACAAUUUCAUACAUCCAAAUUGUAAGACACUAGAUGUUAACCCGCGGUACACCGCGGAUCUAUAUUUUUAUUAGAAAAAUUUAUUAAAUUUUGUUUUAAGAUAAUCUAUAGAUAUAUACUAUUGUUUUGUUUAAUUUAAAUGUAUAAUACACCGUGAGACGAAAUUUUAUUACAAAAAUUGAAAUUUUAUAGAUAGACGUAGUAUAAAAACAAUAGAUUCAAUUGUAUGAUUUUGAAUAAGAUGCUGAUUUAACCCGUCUUAUACUGAUUUUACCCGCGGUAUACCGUAUGCUAAAUUUUAAAUAAUAAAAUGAGGAUUUAAUAUGUGUUAUUGCGAUGUAUUAGUGAUAUUUUAAAUUUAUAUUAAUAUCAAUUAUAAAUAAUAAGCUAUGUCAUAUAUAAUUGAUUGUAAAUUUUAUUACUAUAAUAAUUCUUAUUAAAGUAUACUUAUUAAACUCAUAAACUCUAAUUUCUAUAGUAUAUAGUAUAAAUGUGGAUCCAAAUAUUUAAAAUUUAUUAAAAAUUAAAUAUUAUGAUUAUUUAAACUUUUUUAAAAGUCUAACUUUAUUAAACGUUUUAAUUAUUUAUAAUAUUAUAACUUUUAUGAAGUUUCAAAUAUUAUAAAUAUUUGAAUUUUAUAAGAAUUUAUAAGUAGUUUAAACAUUAUAAAUAUUUAUAAAAGAUAUUAAUACGAGACGGUAUACUACGGGUGAAAUCCUAGAUAUAAAAAUCAAAAUACAAUUAUGAAGUUUGGGUCGUAUUAAAACUUUUAUGAAGUUUCAAAUAUUAGAAAUAUUUGAACUUUAUAAAAAAAUUACAAAAAUGAUGUUUAAUUUCACGGGACGGAGUUAUAUAGUGGGACGGAUUUAGAUCGAUAUUAAUACGGGAUGGCAUAUUACGGGUGAAAUCCUAGAAUUAGCGAUCAAAAUACAAUUAUACAAUCUUAAACACUAAAUAAAACAAAUACAACUUAAAUUUUGAUUUUUUAGUUAUAAAAUAUUGACAUGCGGUUUACCAUAUUAGUAGGGGAAAUUCUAAAAAAAUCAUUUUUUAAUUUAGGGAAAAUAUAGACCCGCGGUGUACCGCGGGUUAAUAUCUAGUAUAAAAUAUAAAAUAUAGACGUUUAUGUAAGACGUUAAAAUAUGGGAAUGAAAUCUCCAAAUACUAUAAAACAAUUAUCACUUAUAUUAUAGUAAAGAAAAAAAAAGCAAUUCUUACCUAAUAUAUUAAAUAUAUACAGAUGUUUAUGGUAAGACCGUAAAAUAUGAGAAUGAAAUCUACAAAUAGAAAUGAAUUAUCACCUAUUUUAUAGUAAGAAGAAAAAAGCAAUUUUCACCUUAGUAUUAAAUAUAGAAUACAUACGUUUAUGGUAAAAUAAUAAACUACGGAAUGAAAUCUACUAAUAUAAAGCAACUAUCACCUAUUUUAUAGUAAGAAAAAAAGAAAGUAAUUAUUACCAAGUAUUAAAUAUAAAAUACAGAUGAUAAGGCCGUAAAAUCAGGGAAUCUCCAAAUUUAACUCCUUAAUCAAAGGUUUAGUUGACCGAAUCAUUAACUAAUAAAUUUGAUUAUUGACCGAAUCAUUAACUAAAAAAAAAAAAAAAAGACGUAAUCAGGUAAGAUUUUUGACAGGUGUGAACCAUUGAUUGGACAUGUGUAUUAGCAAAGUUGUUGGCCUAUCUCACCACCUCACGCUCUAUUUAUAUAAAAAAACCAAUCCUCUAUCUAAUCUUCAACUUCUCCUUUUAAUUCAUUCAUAUACAUAACAAAUUUUAGAUCUCUUCCGUUCUCUUAUUUCGUUUCAAGCUCUGCCGAUGGAUAACCGUCGUCAAUUGCCGCCGAUGAUGACCAGUCGUAUUGAGAGGAUUAGGCCUCCUUGGUAAGUAAUUUAUACCUUACUACUUGUUUUAGUCAAAACAAAAUGAACUUAUUUGUUCCUUGUAAUUUUUCUAACAAUUGUUCUGAACUUCGGAUUCUUAUUUCAAAAUCAUCACUCCUUUUUUUUUCUUGUUUCAAAAAAAUUAAAAUAAAUAUUGAUCUAUUAUCCAACUUUUUUUCUUCUGAUUCUGUUGUUUUAGAUACAAGUCUAACCAUCAUUACUCUUUUCCCUAUUUGUUUGUCACUUCAAGCCCAACAAAGCCCACCGAAUCUCAAAAUCGAAACCAACCUAAAGUGAGUUUCCAAAAUCGAAACCAACCUAAUUCUCAACAUUUCAACAAUGGCGGCGGCGAGUUCCAGGAGAUUUCAAUCUCUCAUGCCCGAAAUCGGCGAAAUCGUUAUGGUGAGAGUCGUUAAUCAAGAUGACGUUGGAGCAGAUGUCCGUCUCCUUGAGUAUUCCGACAUUCCCGGCCGGAUCCAAGAGGUCGCCGAAUUCGUUCUCCAUCGGGAAGAGCCCGCUGUCGUCAUAGCAGUAUCUCCUUUAGUGGUACUAAGCAGAGAUGUUGGUUUUGAUGACAGAUUCCUUUGCUCACAAAGGUAUCUUGAAGGAAGUUUCGUUAUCUGGGUACUCAGAUCUGUUGCUAUAGAUCUAGGAAGGGAUUUGCUGGUAAGAGACGGAUUCUCAACAAAAAAUCUCUGUUUUUCUUAAGAAGAUUGAUGAUGUUGUUCUUAUGUUCAUUUUUCGUCCGUUAAUUUUGUAGAGUAUUCAGGUUGAGACGCAGUGGCCUUCUUACGAGCUCUUGACACAUAGAAGAGUUUUAAAAAAGCUUCCGGUUGGAGUAUCGCCACAAGUGCGAGAGAGUCUGAUUCAAAAUCUGUCUAAAAUCAGACUUGACACGUGUAGAAUCAACGAUCCCACUCUUUUAACGCCAUGCCCUGCUAACCAGACACGUGAGGAUUGUUGGGCACAUGCUCUUACAAGUCAAUUGGAAGCUAACCUAAAGAGGAGUGGAAAGAUGCCGAGAGAUGAUUAUCUUAAGGCAGAGGAUCUCUUCCUUAAAACACCUUCAAAGGAUGAGGGUGUCAUUGAAUCUAUAACAGAUGCGAGCCAUGCUCUUACGGUUGUUGGGAUCGAGUCUAAAAAAGGAGUGGUAAUUGUUUCCUUCUCUUUGUUGUUGUUAGUGAAAAUUGUUUAUUUCUCUUUUUGUUUUUGGUUUGUGAAUAAACUUGUGAUUUGCAGGUUUAUAAAGCUAUUUCAAUAUCAGUUGAGAAUGAAGUUGACCUUCAGCCUGAAAGAUGGGACACUUUACUUGAAGAUUUGGCAAAAGAUGAGGUUCCAGUCACCGUCACUGUAUUGUGGUUUCCAAGUUACGAGCAUCGUAACGGAGAUGUAAGUAAUUUUCGUUGAUUAAUUUUCGUAGAUUAAUUUUCGUUUGUGACUUUAAUUUUUCUUUUUUUUUCCUGGUAGGGAAUAUACAAACCAACUGAUGAUGAAUGGGAUACUUUUAAAAAUAAUCCCGACUUUUAUAAAAAGACUCUUACUCACAGCAUGCUAUUGACAGGUAUGUUCAACAGCUAACUUGUUACGGGAUUAAAUUUUGCAUUUUUUUAAUGAUGAUGAUUAGUAAUUAACAUAAACAAAAGGAAAUUUAUCUCUGUAUAAUGUUAAUUUGAAUUUUUUUUUGUUUUAUAGGGGCUGGUACAGAUGAAAUUGAUGGGACUCCGUACUUCGAGAUGCAGGAUAGUAACGGAGAUGUUGACCAUGGAGACCGUGGUUAUCUCCGCUUCGCCCGCCUUCCAUACUCUCUGGUGCUCGAGUAUGUUGAGAUGGUGGUAUGUCUUUUACUUUAUCAUAAAAUGUAUUAAUAUUCUUACGGAAAUUAGGUGGCUGAGGUUUCGUUUGCAACAAUGUUCUUAUUGAUCUUCAUGACCACUUUGGUUGUAUAGAAAUUAGAAAAUUAACCUUUAGUUUGUUGUCGUAAAUUUGUCACACUUCUGUGAUGAUUAUUUGUACUGAUACUCCAUAGUUACGUUCAUUUUUAUAUUACUAUUUUCCUGUGAAAUAAAUACUGAUAUACUACUUUCCUUUUUCUUUUGACAGGUAUGAUCUCUCAACAGAAGUUUGUCGUCCAUCCGCCAUUUCACAUGUUUCUCACCCCUCCUCCUCCUACUUUGAUCUUUUAUCUAUGUUUGUUAAACCAUGUCUAAUAACUUUAUUGCCUAUUGAGUGUCAGAUGUUAGAGUCAUUGUUUGUGUUGUUGUUGUACUCUGUUUUAGCAUCUAUUUUGUGAAGGAUCUAAUAUCUUUAUAAGAGUGAAUUUCAAAAACUAGAACGCAAAAGACAAAAAGCUAUGCUCACUAAAUUGACCUUUUCUUUUUUUAACUAACAGACAUGAGAGUAGUAGAAACACACACAGCUUUUAGUCCAUUCUGCUACAACAAAUUCAAGCAUUGCAGGGUCGGUGUUUCUUCUCAUCAGAAUCAUCUCAGUCUCGCUAAUUCAUCUUCUUUAGUCUUAUCUUCUUCAGCAGAAACAUCUACUAAAAUGCCUACUCGUUGAGUUAGAAAGUAUAUGAUUCCUGAGAACACGGAUAUGGACAAAGACUUCAGAGUACUACAAAAGCUUGUUUCCUCUAAUUCUAAAACUUGUCAUUGACUCAUUGUAAGUGUAGAGAUAUAUGUAAACUCACUUUACCAAAUGUAUCAAGCGAAUGGGAGAAAGCGGAUAUAGAAUAAUAUCAUCAUUAGUGUUUAGGGGUUUUGUAAAAAGAAAAACUACUUGAAUUCUAUGUCUUCAAACUUGACACCUUCAACGGGUGUGUAACACUCGCUCGAAAGAUACAAGGAGGCCAUAUUCCAAGGCUAGCUUUCCGAUUACAAGUUCAUUCCACCACAAAACUGAUAAGAGGGAUACAGAAUUUGUAGAAACAGAAAAAAAAAUGACUGAGCCUCAUGAAUGAACCUGAAAAUGAAAGAGCAGUGUUGCUCUUUAUAAGCACGGACAAAGGAAACAAAUUCCUUUAAUCCCGCCAACACUGGCUCGGUCCUUCAAGGCAGCUGAACGUAUCUGAACACAUUGUUGUAGUCUUGUAGAUAUUAGUAAGCGUUGUGACCAACAGAGAGAGACAGACAGAUGGAGGUUUUAUUACAAUCGGGAUGACAUCGGAUGCGUCCUCAGAUCAUUUUGUCUCUCUUCCAGAGGGACUCUUCUUAUGCGGAUAAACUCUACAUAGGCUUCCUCCUACGCACAUAUGCAAGUGAACUUUUAAGCUUUUCAUGCUCUGUGAUGUAACUAUGGAGAACGUGGGGGCACAAGAGAACAUGAAGUGCUCAAGGCUAAACAUGGGACAGUAAAAACACAAUGGCCCUCCUUUGUCUUCCCAGCCUUGCAGUUCUGCCGGCCCUGUGGUUGAACAUAUUUUGGUCUUGUGGUGGGAUCAUACUGCAUGAACAUGAUCGAACCUCUGAAUCAUAAACAUAGCAACAAAGAUGGCAAAACAAUAUGGAAACAAACAUUACUGAAUCUAGAUGAACUACAUAAUCAAUGCCUGGAAUAUCAAGUCUGUGCACAGAAGCUAAUGAAUGCCUUGCCUCUUGCAUUCUGAUGUGUAAAGUAUAUUUCAUCAAAACCUCUAGUAACAAUAUGGACUUGAGAGUAGGAAUUUUUGAAAGUAGGAGCAGAUACGUCUUAGAUAACAUGGGAAUAGCAUCAAAGUCAGCCAGUAAUCAACAGAAGCACAGGACAUGAAGAGAAUCUGCAGAGUUACAUUAGACUACAUAUGAAGGAUGCUUCAUUUUAAAAGUCGGUGUGGAAUGUUUUUAAAACUUACACUAUAAGCUUUUUUAUUACUGUUCUUGAUGAGGAGAUCCACUAGUUGUGAUGAUAUCUUAUCUGCUUCGCACUCCAUAUACUGUAGUAGAGACAAGGAGAAGAAAAACGCAUAAGUGAGGAAAUAUAAGAUAUGAUAAAUAUCAGGAAACUUGCUUGCUACCAAGAGAAGGACAUACAAUAGAAGAGAAAUCUUCAUAAAUCAGGUCACGGUCGCUAAAUGAUAAUGCAGGAUACAAAAGAAAAACUUGCUACCCCGAAACAUACUAUGUAUAUAUUGAACUUAUAAUAUGUACCUCAAGAUGAAGACCAGAAAGGGGUUUUCGAGUUUGUCAAUUGCUGGGAUGAUUCGGACUUGGACUCAGCUCGAACUUUAACUCGCACAGGGUUCCUAAGCCCCAGCUCUGUUUGUGCUCCUCUGCUUUGGCAAGCGUGAGAUAUAAUGUAAUUCACCAAAUUGAAUUUAGAAUAAGAAUCUUGAUAUGCAAAACGAGUCAGUUUAAGUAAGAAACCAAACUUGCAAGUUGUUCAGACAACAUAACAAUAUCCAGCUAUAUAGAUAAUAGAUUCAACAAGAUCCAUCUUAAAAUAUAUAAAUCCCCGAUUAAAGAAGAAAACUACCUCGUUGAUUUCGAAAAUCUAUUCGUUCCAUUAUAUCUGAAAGCCUUCCAGGUGUACCGAUCUGCUUUCACCUCUCCGCUUCCAACAAGUAACAGAGAGUUUCACAUUUGCCAAAGUGCAGAGUAAAGGAAUCGUCGCGGCCUGAACUGGAGUGCAAAAAUCGAUAUUGGAUUGAUCAAGCGCCUCAAUAAUAAUAAUAUAUCUCCGGAGAGUGGAGGUUCGAGGUCGGUGAAACACGUCGCCGUUGAAGCUUUGUUUGUGUUCGCCGACGAAUCCAAAACGCGGCGUAUCGAUCGAUUCGGUUCGGUUUAUGUUUGAAUUUUACGACCCGUACUUAGAUGCUGAACCGGUGACCAAUUGGUUCCCGGUUUUUCUCAAAAAAAAGCAUUUACUGUAUAUGGAAAAUAAAUGUUUCUUUCGGCCCAUUUGUUUUUAGCUAUCAAAUCUCUUGGUCCUCGCCACUUGCAUUAUUUUAGAAAAAUCACCAAUUGGGGACAAAGGAUAUAUGGUCACCAAUAAUUUUGUAAGUUGUGUGGUACGAAUAAACUACAUGUAGCAUCAUUAUCAAAAAAAAAAAACUUAAGUACUUAUGAUUUAAUUGUGUUUAUAAGUCAUUUUUCAACAACAUUGUAAUUGAAUCUCAGUGGUAGUACAAAUAUGUAAUGUUUUACCAAAAAAAAAAAAAAAAAAAAUUAAAGUAAUACAAAACAUAUUUAAAACCGUUAUGAUUUUGUAUGAUUUUUGAAAACAUAUGAUUUUGUAUUACUAAAAACCGUUAUAUUGUAUAUAUACUUGUUUGGUUUUUCUCCACUUCUUCAUCUGAAGGAUAUCUAAGUAAACUCCGAUCGCCGUGAACUUCACUUGAAGAAAGUGGAUCUCAAUGUCAGUGAUCCCUUUAACAAGAAUAUAAAUAAUCCACAGGACAAUUAUUACCUGGAAUAUUAUUGCAUUAUUUAAGGUAUCUAACAUUAUGAAAUUGCAAAACAGAAAAUCUGUUUUUGUCUUAGAAAAGGAACCUUGGCCCAGAAGAGAAAGUGACUUGGAAGUGAUCAUUAUCUGUGGUCUGUGGAGGUUAAGGAACCUCGUGAACCAUUACCAUCUCUGUUCCCACUGUUUGAUAAACAACAAACACAAAAGAAAAUUAAGAAACGGUUGGAAACAACAUUCAAUUGAAAAAAAUAUAUGAGAAACUCGUUACAACUUACUUUAGUGGUGAAAAUUUGUGAUUAAAAACAACGCAAAGAGUGUAUUAAAAAAAUACGCCCCAAUCUUAUGUGGUUGCAUACUAAUAAUCCUUAUCUUCGGGUCCAUUGGGUUAUGUUACAAAUUGAUUUGCUAACUAAUCUUCCUUCAAUCAAUGUGUUUUGGACAGAGAAUUUCAAAUCUAGGUUUUCACUACAAAAGCCUCCAAAGAGACUUAAUGAUGUUCACGUAAGAAGACAUGCAUUAAAUUAAAAUUGAGAGAAAGAGAGAGAGAGAGAGAGCAAAGACUGCAUGCAGAAGGGAUUGGUUUGCAUUGGAUUAUUAAGGAAACAAAAAUUAAAUACAGAAAUCCCCAAAACCCAUCUUUAAUUUGGCUGAUACCAAAUAAAAAAAAAACUUGGGAAUUUCUCACAUUCAGUUAAGAAUUUAUAGAAUCUUUGAAGAAUUUUUUUUGUAAAGAAAGGCUUUAUGUAUGGGUUUUUGAGGCAAGGAGAAAACAGAAAAUGCAGAGGGAGAGAAUGAUUAGUCAGGUUCAUUGCAUUCCCUCUGGUGAUCAUAUUCUCAUGACGGCUUCUUCUUCUAAACACAUUUCUCAUAUCAGAUUCUACAAAGCCUGGAAGGGUAACAGUGUAAUAUUAUUUUCUUUCGUCUCUCAAACCAAUUCAAUGUUCUUUAUUACAACUAUUCAUGAAAUUGUCUCUUAAUGACAAUAUUAGAUGUUUUCUUUCUUGUUCCACAAGAAUGUGAAGAUUAUGUUUGGUUUUUCUCUUUAUUUCAUCAGAGAUUUUGCUGUGGUGGUAGAGCUUCUUUCAACUAUACAUACAAGUCAUUGCGUAUUGUGGUCUUCCCCCUUAACCACUCGGACAAACCUGCUUGUCGUUAAUAAACUCUUCAUAUUGUAUUUUAUAUACGCCGCAAUCUUAUGUGGUUGCAUACUAAUAAUCCUUCCUUAUCUUCGGGUCCAUUGGGUUAUUGUACAAAUUGAUUUGCUAACUAAUCUUCAAUCAAUGUGUUUUGGACAGAAUUUCAAAUCUAGAUUUUCACUACAAAAGCCUCCAAAGAGACUUAAUAUCCAUAUUAUCACUAAACACAAACAAAGGUUUAGCAAAGUUUCAGCUACCAACGAUCAAGAAAAACAGGAUGAAACGCCUGAGAAAAAAAACAGACCAACUAAAACUGGCUCACUCGCUAGUUCUAGAUUUUAAGUACCAAAAGACAUCAAAGUUCUAGAGUAGAUAUUAUAGAGAGUAGUCAUCAAGCUGCUUCUUCUUCUUUUUAAGCAGCUGCACUGUGUUUGGCCUUUUGUGUGAGACUGCAAUCCCAUUUCCGAAGUGAAGGUUCUGGUGCACGACUUGCACCCAAAUGCUCCUGCAGACUUCGGUGUCUGCUGCUGCUUCGAAGUCUCUCCAAUGCUGCUUCCACCAGAAUUCUUACCCGCCUGUUUUGAUGGAUGAGGAGUUGCAACAUGGACAUGCGGUUUCUUCGAAUCUGUUUUUGUCAGUGUUUUAAAUUUAACAAAUCCAUCUUCCUUUCUUUUGUAAAAAUAAGUAUUCAAUAGGGAGAUUGAUAAAAGGAUUAAUCACCUGUUUUCUGAGGAGUUUCAAACUUAGCCUUCUUGUUGGGAGCAGGGUUCUUGGAGGAGUUAGCUUCUGCAGAUCUCUUCUUGGAUGCUUCAGGCUUUUAUAAACCAAGAAAAAUUAUAAUCAGAUCCGAGUUUGACCACAGAAGCAGCGAAAUUGAUCCCAAAAGAAGGGUAAUAAGACAGAACAAACAUAGGCUUCCCAUCAAGAAGCACAUAUAAAGAGACUAUCAUGUUACCUUCUUUGGGGUCUCCUCCUCUGAUGAGUCAUCUACUUCGUCGUCUGAUGAGUCAUCUUCAUCAUCUUCCUCACUGUCAGGUUCAGCAGUAAGCUUCUCUUCCUGAAACAAAGCAGCAAUGAUAAGGAUUAAAGAAUUGUGAGAAUGGGCUAAAACACUGUUUAUAGGUUUAAUUAACAUGUCACUGAGCCUAAAGAAAAUUGAAAAUUGAGCUAAUAGUAUAUAUACAAAAGUACCUCUUCCUCUCCAGAGUCUUCAAAAUCACAAUCAUCAUAAUCAUCAUGACCAUCAACAUCAAUAACAUCAUCUGAAGGACACAUCAAUUUAUGAGAGAAUGAUAUACUUAAAUAAACCAAAAUCAGUUAACUGGGGACAAAACAUAGCAGGAGUGGAUAUAAAGCUGCAUUUACGUUGGUCAGGCGUAGAGAGACAGAAAAGAGAGUCAAGGAACUCAAAAAAAAACAGAGCAAAACAACAAUUCCCCCAAAUCAUAUUCAUCAACAAAGCUUGUAGAGUGUUUAAGCAAUAACAACAAAUGUUCGACUAGUAGUAAAGGAUAUGGAUCAUAUUUGUAACCAGAGAAGAAAACGCUCCCAUUCUUCCAAGUAUGAGACAGCGAAAAGUGCCUUUCCAACACAAUCGCCGUAGCCAGCUGAGGAAACCUCUCAUGAGAUAGCGUUCCAAUGAGACGCUUAGCCGAUCCAACUAUCAGGUAAAGCUGGAUUGGUUCGGUUCCAUUGUUCUGAUUCUCUCCUAAAGCAACCUUCAAUAAACAAAACGUCACUGUAAAAUAUAAUACCUUGUUAUAAAUCAAAUCAAACCAAAUCAAGCUUGCAAUUCAAAAGUACCUGAGAGAUGAAAUGUACGUAGGGCUGGUCGUCCCUAGUUAUAAGAGGCCUGCCUUCACCAGGAUAGAUAUGAUGCGCUGGGCCAUUCCUAACUUCAACACCUGCAAACGAAAAAAUCAGUAAGUCAGCCACAAAUCCUAGAAACUGAAUUUUGUUUUCGAUUUCAGUAACGAAAACCUAGCGAGAGUGAAAAAGUCUCCAGUUUUCCCCAAUUUUCUACGGAGUCUAUUCACUAAAUAUGUCAAUGUCAUACAAACUCACUAAUCUCGUCUCUCGUUUAGCUAUCAGACGAUUCCAUAGAAGAAACAGUAGAAAAACAUGGAAAAAUGAUGAAACCAGAAGAUUUAGAAAAAAAACCCUAAAUGCAGGAAGCGAAGCGCAGAGAACGAAGAAGAAGAAAGAAGUAGAAGAAGGAGAAGAAGGAAGAUAGGAGAUGUUUACCCCAGAACUUCAUUCUCUUAGCAGGCAUUGUCUUGACAGGUAGUGUGACCUGAAGGCUUCGAUGCAUCGAAGAAGAAGGCUCUCGAGCGCAGUUUCUACUUUUAGGGCGGGGAGUGAAGUGAAGGAUAAAAUGUCUGAUGGUAUUUAUUAAUCGGGCCAAGGGAUUUUAGUGAUCCUCUGUUAUGCGGAUCAUCGAAGAUCUCCUUCGUCUGGGCCAUUCUAUUAAAACUAGCCCAACAAAAAAUUGUUUUAAGCCCAUACAAUAUUUUGACGGAUUUUUUAUUUAACGGUGUCAGUGGGCUUUUAAUUAAACCGAACCGAAUGUACCGAACCGAAACCGAAGCAAAAAAAACCGAACCGAACCGUAAAUUUGAAAAUAACCGAAUGGAUACUAAAUUUGAUAACCGAAAUAACCGUAACCGAAUCGGUACCGAACCGAAAUAUUUCGGGUAACCGAAAUACCCGAAAUACAAUUAUAUUUUCGAAAUAAUUAGUUAUUUAUAGACCAAAUAAUCAAAAAUACUUGAAACAUCUAUAAAAAUAGUAAAAAUACUCAAAAAUAACCAAAAAAUAUCCAAAAAUAUUCGAAAAUACUCAAAAAUAACCGAAAUAUCCGAAAAUAUUCUAAGCAAAAUAACCAAAUGGAUACUAAAUUUUAAAACCGAAAGAACCGGAACCAAACCGAAACCGAACCGAAAUUUCAAAAUAUCCGAAUGGAUACUAAAUUUUAGAACCGAAAGAACCGAAAACCGAAUGGACCCAACCGAACGGAUAACCGAAAGCCCAGGCCUAGGUGUCAGGACGGAUCGUAAUAGCAUGUGGGGUCUACAAAUUCAGCCCCACGGGCAAAUGGAGCAUCAUUUACCUUAUUGCCCUCGAUUAAAAGCGUUUAUACAAAAAAAAAAAAAAAACCAGUUAACAAAAAUCUAUGAAGAGUAUACUCCCUCUGUUCUUAAAAAAUUGAUGUUAUAGCUUUGGUUGUUUGUUCCACAAAGAUUGAUUUUCUAGUAUUUUAUUUUAUUUUUAUUGAUUUAUAAUAGUAAAUUGUAAACUUCAAGAUACAAUGAUUAUAAAUCAUUAACUUUCUUAGGCUACUAUUGGUUGAUAAAUAUUUAAAAUAUUUAAAAUUAGAAAUAAUGUUGAAAUGAUUAAACAAUGAUUGAAUUCUUAAUAUGUGUGAAAACUCCAAAACAUCAAACAAUUAGGAACAGAGGGAGUAUAUGAUAACACUAAGUACGGUCCCUACUACGAGUAAUUAUUAAAUGGAUAGUUGCGCGAGUGGGAAUUAAGCAACAGUAGACUGCCAAAUCAUAAAUUAUUCCCAAAUCCCAACUAACUAAUCUUUGUAUUACAUUUUGUUAAACACAAUACAUUUAGAUUAGUUAGACUUAGAACUAUUCGAGGCCUCUUAUGCCUAGAUUUAGAAGAGUUCUUGGCAUGAAUCAUGAACAUUUUUCAUUGCUCUUAAAUUUACAUGACACCAAUUUUCAAGCUCCGGUUUUACAUAUUACACAAAAUUCCGAGUUUUAGCAACAUAUGUGAUUAGAAUACGUAAAAGAUAUACUCAAUUGAUAAUUUUUAACUUAUGCGUAUUAAAUUAUAUGUUUGUGAUUGAAUCUUAAUUAAUAGUCAAGGAGAAAAAUGAAAUUUGCUACGUUUUAGCACUUUCCGGAAAAUACUAGCUUUAAAAGUACGAACAACCUCAAAAAAAAAAAAAAAAAAAAAAAAAGAGUUGAGUGCAUGAACAUGACAGUAUUCGAUGAACCUUAGCGGAUCAAAUGAUAUAAACAUGCAGUAUAUAUUUAUUGUCCAAGCUGCGUUAAUUAUAACUUGAUAAAUAAAUUAAUGACAACUCAUUGACUAUCCGGAAGAAUCUGAAAAUCUUUAGGGAUAGAAGAAUUUGAUCUUGACUGCUGACCUUUCUUUCAUCUUUUCUAACUGGAAAAGCAUAAAAGAAAAAGAAACAUCUUGUUCAUAUGAAAUCAUCUAACGAUACCAUAUUUGAAAAAGACAAAAAAAGAAAGAUAUUUCUUUGUUUGUCAACAUAAAGAAACCAAAGAAGAAAAAAAAAGAGAGAUAAGAUGCAAGCAUGUUGCAUGGCAUUGGUAUAGAAAUCACAUGCAGAAAUACGAAUGUUUGAAUAGACAAAUUUUCCCUAUCAAAUUCAAGUGAUUUUCUUACAAGUGAUUCAAAUUCAAAUUUUUAUUUAUAUAUACAAGUGAUUUUCUUACUCCACCUAGUCGUCGUCUUUGCUGCCUUGAUCAAUAGACAAAUGUUUAGAUAAUUACUAUAUAUCUAAAGGUGAAUGAAAGUCGGAACCAUGUAACGGAUUCAGAUUGGUGCAGAUCAAAUUCCAUAGGUAGAAGAAAUAUUUGGAUUUAUGGGCAGCAUGGUUUAGUCUUUUACACGUGGACAUGUCCUUCUUUUAGCUUUGUUUCCUCUUUGAAUUCGAUUACUAUCUAUUUGGUUUGCUUUAUUCUUUAUCCUCCACCACCAAAACAUUUAUACUAUGUUCGAUUAAUUGUUUAAUCUUAGUCAUUAUUGUUUCCUCUUUGAAUUCGAUUAUUGUUUUAACCGAAGAUUUUGUCUACGUAACUUUUUAAUACUGAACGAGAAUAAUUAGUAAUUAGUAAUUACUUCUCUUUUUUUUUUUUGCAGCAAAGACGACUAGAGUUAAGAGGAGGUGUCCAAACGUAAGGUGAUAUGUAACGGAAAAACAUUCAUUAUGUGUCCUAAGUCCUAACUAUCAAUUGAUAAUUACAAGUUUUCUGACACAUACGUUAGUCAUUCAUUUAUUCCCAUCUAAUAUUAGUUAGGCCCAAAUUCAAAAAUUAAACCCGACCCAUUAACAUUUUUGCAUCAAAAUUUAUGUGACACUAAUUAAGAAUCUAGGAGACUAUGAACCUAUGGUGAGGGAGACGCUUCUGAUUUUUUAUUCAGUUUUAAACCUCACACGCCCGCUCACAGCCUCACCACGCCAUAACGUCGAGAACGAAAUCAUUUUUGGUUUACAGACCACUUAAACAAUUCUGAUUAGCAUUUAAUACUCUUCUUAGAUUUAAUAUAUAUUUUAUUUUUUUCCCCAGUAACAUGUAGAAUUGUAUUCAAACUCAAAUGGCAUUACACGAAAAAAAUGGCACAACUAUCAAAAUAUAUGUUGGUUGCAUCGAUAUUGUGCAAAAUUUUAUAAAUAAAAUGAUAGUGUAUAUGUAUGAUUCCAGUAAAUGAACACCACUACACCAGUAUUAAUGUACUUCCAACUGCUAUAGUGCCAAAAAUCUCGAUUUCUUUCUUUCACCAAUAUCAUCUCUCGGAAAACAAAAUCCUUGUUAAAAUAGGAUACGUAAAAUAUUCUACCCAGUUGUUGUUGUUGUUGUAAAGCAUGAUUUUAGUGUUUAAAUCGAUUAUUAAACGGUAGAUUAAAGUUGAAAACCCUCAACUAUUUCGUGGCAUUCAUACUCAUGAAUUGGCGCUCUACACGAUAUGAAAUUUUUGACUCAUAUGUUGUCAGUAACUGCAGCUUUUAGGGAAGUUUCGUAUUGUUAUAUUAAUCCACCCACCCCACCAAAAUCCAAAAGUGUUUAUCUUCGUCACACCGAAGUGUUACGUUGAUAUAGUAUAAUUAUACGUGUGUGUAUCAAAGAAUCUGCAGCAUCUUUGGUUAUACACAGUUAAACAUUCAUAUCCAAUUCUAUAAUAUAGAAACAUAUUAGACAUGCAUUGAGUCAAAUAAUCUCAAUGAUAUCACCUAGUUUAGUUUCUUAAUUUCCUUUUUAUUUUUGUAAUCUUUUGACUAAAAUAAUGGAAGACGACAAAUAUGGUUGACCUUGUCCGGGUUGGAAAAUGUUACAUAAUUAGAAAGCUUAGGAAUCUUAUGACUUGAGAUACCUUUACACGUAGAAGCUACAAUAUUGGAGCCAAACCACUAUCAGAAUUAUCGUAUUAUUAUUAUCGUGAUUAUUAUUCUAAUCUAUAUAUGUUAAUAUACAUGCUAAUGUUAUUAUGAUUGUAAUUUGUAAAUAUAUACAUGAAUAUUAAUAUUCUACAUGUAAGUGCAAAACUAGGAUGCAAAUAAACGAUGCAGUGACAACAACCAACAUCUUAAUCAUUUUUGUAUAUUUCAUUCACUACCACAAAAAGCAUUUUUCAAACAUAACAUUAUAUUCAAACGUCAGGCGGUUUACCUAAACUGCUAUGUAAACACUUCAUUUCGGUCUCUCCUCAAUCAGACUCAAAACUAAAACUUUGAAGAGGCGACUAUCAUUGUUAAAUCAAAUUGUAUUUCAUUGAUUCAUUCGCCAUUGAAUGACUAAGAUACGUCACACGUGGAUUACUUACGGUUACGAUUAAUUUUCUUAUUUUUUUCUUGGUAAUAUUCUAUGUUUAAAUUUGUCCCAUCAUUUCAUGGGAGUGACUAAUCUUCUUUGGCAUUUUCUACGUAAUCAACGAUUCGAAUAAUAAUCUUCAAUAUAUGCUGCAAAGAGUGUUUCAAAAUUCUUACUAGCAAUUUACUCACACUAACAACUUUUUCCAAUUCUUGACUCCGGCAAGGAGGAGGUUCAUAUCUUUUCUUAACUUCGAAGCUGUUUACCAAUUCAAGUGACCCUAAAUUCAUAAAUAUAAAGAAAAAUGGUUCAAAUCAUUAAUUAUCUUGUUCCUUGUACAUAAAGUAAAUUCACAUAUAUAGUGGCAUUGGCAAUAAGGAUUACCAAAUGUAUAUAAUUUAAUGUGAUAAGCAAAGUUUAACUUAAACAAAAAAAAUUCAGAAAUAAAAUGUUCUUGAGAUUACUAUUAUAAUCUUGUGAUUAACAAAAAAUGUUAACAAACGUGAUUAUAAUCUUGUGAUUUUCCGAUCCUACCAAAAAAAAAAAUCUUGUGAUUUUCCGAAGAGCAUAAGUUUUGUUCAAAUGGCCCAAUAACAAUUUAAAAAUAUGUUAAGUAGUCAGUAAAGAAAUGUGUAAUAUGUUAAGUAGUCAGUAAAAAUAUUGGAGCAGGUAAUAAUUUUACGGAAAAAUUAAUGAUUUGGUCUAUAAACGCAAAGAAAUGUGUAAUUCUUGAGUAAGUGCUUUUCCUUCGUACUCUGUUCUUGAACUUAAUAAGGAAAAAAAGUGCUACCCAUUUUGAGAUUACAUUCUUCUAUGUUGCCUUAAUCCUUCCACUCUAAUUUGAGCUACUGCUCUUUCAGGUUCCUUUGGCAUGGUAAGAACUUUUUUUGUCAGAAUCUUACACAGCUGACUUUUUUACGCUCUAAAAAUUUGGUUGUUACUUUUGAUCUCUUUGGUGUUAAAAAAGACAAAAUCAUUAUAUCCGUGACUGUCAUAAAUUAAACUUCGACAAAAAAGUGUCCCAAAGUUAGAUACUUGUCUUCAUAUCAUAAAUUUGUCUUCCUGUUCGAAUUUUCCAAUUUAUCACUAGAAGAAUUCCGUUUUUGAUUAUUGCAGUAAUAUUCUCUAUCAAUUUCAGUAUGUUGCUGUGAAAAUUCUCAUGGAGCAAGACUUCCAUGCUGAGCGCGUCAAUGAGUUCUUGAGAGAGGUGCAAAACUAAAAUUUGAUCUUGUUUUUAGUAAUAGACUUGGUGUACAAAUCCUUCCAUGAUCUUGAUUCGCUGUCAGGUUGCGAUAAUGAAGCGCCUUCGCCACCCUAACAUUGUUCUCUUCAUGGGUGCGGUCACUCAACCUCCAAAUUUGUCAAUAGUGACAGAAUAUUUGUCAAGGUAUAUAGCUGCCUAGAUUUUGAAGGUUGUAUUUGUAUAUGUUGAGUGUAGAACUUUAGUCUUAAUGACGCUAAUACCAUGCUUUCUUUCAAACAGAGCUAAUUAGAAAGAAAUUAGAUGAGAGACGUCGCCUGAGUAUGGCUCAUGAUGUGGUAUGUCUGAUUUUCUUUAGUCACAUGUAUCAUGUAUGGGUGCGUAUUAAGUUGAUUGCUUUCUGAUCUUGGUGUUUCUUCACAUAGAAUUUAUUUUCCAGUUAUCUGAUGCAGGCUAAGGGAAUGAAUUAUCUUCACAACUGCAAUCCUCCAAUUGUGCAUAGAGAUCUAAAAUCUCCAAACUUGUUGGUUGACAAAAAAAUAUACAGUCAAGGUUUGAAUCGAAAUUAGAAACUGUUGUGUCCAAUGUCUUGAGUUUGAUAUUUUAGUAACAUCAUUCCUCUUCUAGUCUCGUGAGAGCAGCUUAGAUAUUCUAUUUUAAACAUAUUAAAUCAUCUUGGGGACAUUGCAAAAAGGCUUUAACCUGCUGAACUUAAAAAAAACGGCAGUCUCAAACUAUCUCUGGUUUAAGAAUUGUCCUUGAAUAGACUUCAUGAUGCAUAUGUUUCAUUACCAGUGAGCCAUGGAAGCGUCCAUAAUUUUGCAACUAUAAUGGACUUGCUAAGACCAUUGAUAAAAUCAGCGGUUCCUCCGCCCAACCGCUCGGAUUUGUAAGAUCCCCGUCCAUUUGAAAGUUGUUAUAAUCAUGAUAUGCACAUAUACCCUCAGCAUUCGUUUGCUGCCCAGGAGGGCGACACUAGUUUUUUUUUUUUUUUUUUUUGGUAAAAGGGCGACACUAGUUACUUUUGCUUUAAAGGUAACAUUCCACAUGAGCUAUCAAUCAUAUCCUAAACAAUUGCUUGGGUCUUCUAAUACAUGUAUUUUUUUUUUUUGGGAUCUUUGUCUGCUGUUUGUUCCUUUUUUAAAGUUGCAGAUUGUUAAACAUAUACAUGACUAUUGUCACAGGGAGGAAAUUAAAUGAAGUAAUGGAAACAGUGUGGGGGAUAAUCUUAAUCUAUCUAGUCCCAAAGGGUAAGCAAUAUUUUGUUGUUAUUAUUUCUAAUUACAUUGUUGUACAUUAAUACAGCUAAAUUAGUUGCCGAACGAAGCUAAAAAAAGCAGCUGCAAAAUCCUGUUGCAAACUUAAUAUGAUUUACAUACACUGUGCCAUCAUCAUAAGUAACACUCGUAAGAGAGAAAAAAAUAUAUCCCAGAUCGGUAAAACGCAUGGGGACUGAAAAUAUCUGGAUAGUCAACGAUUUUUUGCCUUUCGCCUCUAAGUAAACUUCCCACUCCUGAAAACCGAGUUUACUUGUUUUUUUAAUUAAUUAAGAAAAAUACUAAGAAAAAAUACCAAUAAAGUUGCGUAAAUUAAAAUUAUAGGAGAAAACACAAUAUUAUAUUGCUUAUUUCUUUUUAUGGCUAAAAACGAAUACUCCCAUUAAGGCAUUAACAGUACUUUAAAUCUAACACUAAGAAGAUAAUUUUUUUUUUUUUAACAAAUUGUUUCAACUAAUAAACUACAGUACAUUGCUCUCCCUCUAUAUAUAUAUAGAUAAUUCGAAUACACUCAAUACUAAAAAAGGUACUUCAAAUUUUAUUCCACAAACUAUGAUUAUUUUUUCAUAAGUAUAAAUAGGUCAGGACAAUAAAGCAAGAAAACUCACAAAGGUAAAAACACACCUAAAAAAACUCAUCAAAUCAUAGGAAAGCUUUCCUUGGAGAGAAGUUUUAAAGAACAUUAAGCAGUUCGACAUCAAACACCAGCCAAGCGUCAGGAGGAAUCUUGGUACCAGCAACUUCCGCACCAUACCUACCAUACCUGGGAGCCAGACAAUAUUAUUAUCUAUCUUUAAGAAAUAAGGUUAAAAUAAAAACAUCACAUUUAUGAAAAAAAUAAUAUCAAAAAUGAUUUGCAAAGGCUUUAAUUUACCCGAAUGCUGGAGGAAUGGUAAGCUUUCUUUUGCCACCAACAUACAUUCCUUCAAAAUAUUCAAAAAAGAAAAGAGAUAAAAACAACAUUCUAGAUGAACAUUAUAUAUAGAGAGAGUGAGAAAAAUAAAAAAAGAAGUAAGAAAGUAGCUAGAUUACCAUUAACACCAACAUCCAAUCCCUUAAUGACUUUUCCAACACCUGCAUGCAUGUAACAACAAGCAGAUAAGUAUACUCACAGACUAAUAAAGCUCUUCUUUUCGCAAUCUAGUUAUAAUACCAACCUAGACGAAACUUAUAAGGAGAUUUUCCAACAGUGGAAUCGAAAAUCUUCCCAUUUUCAUGAAGCUUUCCAGUAUAAUGGACAGUAACCUGCACUCAGAGAAAAGAGAAUGAGCCCCAACAUUGACAUCUCUUAUCAGACAUUUGUUUGUUAACUUUCUAUCCAAUAUAAGUAAGGCACUAGUUUGUUCGAUUCUUAUCCAAUGUCAAUUCUUUAAAUGUGCACAUUCUUACCACACUGCCACUUGUUGCAUAAUCUAUGACAUUGCAAGUAAUCAUGUAAGAAAUUUAGGACCGCAUACCCUUUUGCCAGGACCAGCUUUCUUGCCGUUGGGGUUGCCCAUACACAAGUCGUCAACAUUGAGCUCAUCUGGGUCAGGCGUUUGCUUCUCAACACUAGUAGAAAUGGCUUUAUACUCCACUGUAGCUUCCUCACUUAUCUUCUCUUUCUUCUUAGCAGAUUCAGAUGGGGCCAUGGAGCUUUCACUCCUGCAAUAAUACCAAAAGAAAAGAGCAUAGAAAUUUAUAAGAUGGGAAAGAAUUUGAAAGAACCAUUUACGUGUGAGCUAAUAAUUAAUAUCGAAUACCAAUAACAAAUGUACUAACUGAUAUAUCCCAAAUGACAUGACUACUUUUGAUUAUCCCAAAAAGAACAAAGUAGUUAAAUAAUAUUCAGUUUUAAGGCAAAGGAAUGGACUGAAGUCAAGUAGCCAAAGGAAACCUCAAGCUGACUUCUAUUCAUUGUUUUGAAAAGAGUAUGCCGGAGGAUCUUAUAUAUGAAGGAAUUUAGUUAAAACCAUUUCAAUAAGAAAAGCUAAAUUUUACAGUAAUAUUUGAAUUGUGGUUAUAGGAUACAAAAGUGACUGGAGAAGGAUAGAAAAGUUUGUCAGAAAAUAAAUUUACCUGCUUUUUGGAAUGGCUGCAUCCAUGGCAGAAGGAUCUUGGAGAGGAGGAAUAGGUUUACUGAAAUUGACGCGGCGGCGAAUGAGGCGUAUAGGUAUUUCCGGUUUGGCAGUCACCCAAACAGCUAAUUUGCGUCCUCGCAUGUAGCUCCCAUUAAGUUGAGUCACGGUAUCAGCUACGUCUUUUCCGUGAACAAUAGCUGUAACUGAGCUGAAAAAUUAUCAACAAAAUACACAAGUCUGUCGUCGUUAAAAAGUAAUUUUAAAUAAAUUGAAAGUUGGGAAACAUGUUAGAAAGAAGCCACAAACCUCUUCUUGAAAAAAGAGAGGCGUGUGAUAGUUCCAUAUGGAGAGAAAAGUUUAACCAAAGCCCUGGAGAUUUGACUCUUCCUAAGCGAAGUGUCAUAUCCUUCAACUAUUACAAUAACCCUACUGCAGUAAUAGGAUAUUGCCGAAGAUGAUAAACAUUAUUAUUAUCAACAAAUCUUAUUUUUUAAAGAAAUCAGUGUUUACUCGUUUGCGUUUGCCGGAUACGGAUAAGCCUCAACAGAGACAUUCCAUCCUCCCACGUUACUUCCAGUAAGUUGCAAGGCCUUCUCUACUGCGUCUUGUCCCCCCAGUAAACACAUAACACCAUGACUGAAAUAACAACAACAACAACAACAACAAGUGAGCUGAUAUUUAACUUGAGCUGAUGAAUUGGAAAGAAAUGGAGGAGGAAGAAGCCACCAAAACCUGUUGAGACUCGUCUUAGUCUCAUCAAAUUUUAAGGGAAUAUAAAUCUCCCAGAUCUCUCCACAUGAAGAGAAAUGUUCUGCCAACGCCGUGUAGACAUCAUCAAGAGGAAGACCAGUGUCAUAUCCCGUAACCUUAAUCCUCCCAACGUCACUGCAAUAAUAAUACUAUCAACGUGACAUCUGAAAACAUGCAUCAUCUUACACAUGCCAAUUUCUCAAUUUACCUCAGUUUUGGAAUGUUAUUCCGUUUCGGAACCUAAAAAGUACAAGAGAUCAAAUCAGAAACACUACUAACUAACUUGAAGUAAUUUUCUCACAAACUUGUGAAGAAACCAUCAAUUGAGAAACAAAGAUAAGAAACCAGAGUGUAUCAGAAAAGCCAUAAGAGUAGAGUAAGAAGAAGAUUACCAUGGUGGAUGAGUACAUGGCUAACCCUUUUACAGAUUUAUCAAUUUAGGUCUGGUAUUUAUAAUUGCUUUUUUCUUUUGGGCCUUGAAUUUAGUUCUGGCCUGGACUCUAAGGCCCAUAUGGUCCUUCGACGGACUUUUUACCAACACAUACAGAUACAGUAGUACCCUUUUCAUGUUUUCGUGUCUUAAAUUUUUUUUUUUCCUAUUAAGAAUCUUAUGAGUUUCUUGAAGCUCUCUGUUCCAAUGUCCCUCAGUCCUUUGUCCAACCCUCAGACAAACUUUUGAAAGAAAGAGUUAGUGGUGUUUUGCAGAAACGGCAAUACGUAUUUUGCCUUUCAUGUUAUGUAAAAUUAUCAUUACAUCAAAUGGUUCUAAACUUUUAAAAAUCACAAGAGAACCAACCCUCAGACGAAACUUUUAGUUUUUAUUUGUUUUUAUCAUUAACCUAAAUUAUAUGAGUUCGUAUAUAUAUUUAAAAAACGAACGAUUGGGCGUUGAAUAUAUAUAUAUAUAUAUAUAUAUAUAUAUAUAUAUAUAUAUAUAUAUAUAUAUAUAUAUAUAUAUAUAUUAAACUAAAAGUUAAUCUAACUAAAAGUUAAUCUAACUUCUUCAAUUGACUUCCUUUUUCUUCUUAGAAGAUUUGUCUGGUGUUUUGGAGCUUUCACUACUGUAAUAAUACCAAAAAAAAAAAAACUGAGAAAUUUAUAAGAUACGAAAAAGUUUGAAAGAACCAUUAUUGUAACACGCAUGAAGACAUCUUUACUUGUGAGAUAAUCAUAUAAAAUCUACUACUAAUAAAAGGAACUCAUAGCCUCUCAAACCAUCCACAUCAGUUUAGUUGAGAGUCUUUUUCGUGUUGCCAUGUCAGCAAAUUGAGCCACAUCAGCUUAUUUAAAGACUAUAUAUACAAACUUCCGCCACGUCAGCAAGCUUUAAUUGGAUUCAGUCUUAGGAAGGUCUCGAGGGAUUAGAGGACAGCUUUAUUUAACAUUAAGCAGCUCGACAUCAAAGACCAGCCAAGAGUAAGGAGGAAUGCUACCAGCACCUUCCGCACCAUAGCUGUAGGCCAGACAAUUUUAUCAUCUCUCAUUAAAAAAGCUUAAAAUAGAACAUCACAUUACCAAAGAAAGAUAGAUAAGAGAUGAUUUGCAAAGGCUUUACCCCAUUGCUGGAGGAAUUGUAAGCAUUCUUUUGCCACCAACACGCAUUCCUUUGAAAUUUACAAAAAGAGAUCAAAACAACACCAUUUGACCAUAUUUAGUGAAGAAAUACCAGUAAGAAACUAGCUAGGUUACCAUUGACGCCAACAUCCAAUCCCUUAAUGACUUUUCCAGCACCUGUAUGUGUAACAGCAAGCACAUAAGUAUCCAAGUACCACUCACACACUAAUAAAGCUCUUACUUUCGCAUCAAGUUAUAAUACCAACCUAGACGAAACUUAUAACGUGAUUUUCCAACGGUGGAAUCGAAAAUCUUCCCAUUCCCUUGAAGCUUUCCAGUAUAAUGGACACUUACCUGCACUCAGAGACAAUAGAUUGACCUCCAACAAAUAUUUGCACAAAAACUCCAACAGUUUAGGACUAAAUGUUCAUACCCUUUUGCCAGGCUCAGCUUUCUUGCCGUUGGGGUUUCCCAUGCAUAACUCUUUAACAAUGAGGCCAUCUAGGUCAGGCGUUUGCUUCUCAACACUACUAGAAAAGGCUUUACUCUCCACUGUAGCUUCCUCACUUAUCUUCUCAUUCUUCUUAGCAGAUUCAGAUGGGGCCAUGGAGGUUUCACUUCUGCAAUAAUACCAAAAAAAAAAGAGCAUAGAAAUUUAUAAGAUGGGAAAGAAUUUGAAAGAACCAUUUACUUAUGAGCUAAUAAUUAAUAUCGAAUACCAAUAACAAAUGUACUAACUGAUAUAUCCCAAAUGACAUGACUACAUUUGAUUAUCCCAAAAAGAACAAAGAAGUUAAAUAAUAUUCAGUUUUAAGGCAAAGUCAAGUAGCUAAAAAAACCUCAAGCGCUAAAUUUUACAGUAAUAUUUGAAUUGUGGUUAUAGGAUACAAAAGUGACUGGAGAAGGAUAGAAAAGUUUGUCAGAAAAUAAAUUUACCUGCUUUUUGGAAUGGCUGCAUCCAUGGCAGAAGGAUCUUGGAGAGGAGGAAUAGGUUUACUGAAAUUGACGCGGCGGCGAAUGAGGCGUAUAGGUAUUUCCGGUUUGGCAGUCACCCAAACAGCUAAUUUGCGUCCUCGCAUGUAGCUCCCAUUAAGUUGAGUCACGGUAUCAGCUACGUCUUUUCCGUGAACAGAAGCUCUAACUGAGCUGAAAAAUUAUCAACAAAAUUCACAAGUCUGUCGUCGUUAAAGAGUAAUUUUAAAUAAAUUGAAAGUUGGGUAACAUGGGAGAAAGAAGCCACAAACCUCUUCUUGAUAAAAUAGAGGCGUCUGAUAGUUCCAUAUGGAGAGAAAAGUUUAACCAAAGCCCUGGAGAUUUGACUCUUCCUAAGCGAAGUGUCAUAUCCUUCAACUAUUACAAUAACCCUACUGCAGUAAUAGGAUAUUGCCGAAGAUGAUAAACAUUAUUAUUAUCAACAAAUCUUAUUUUUUAAAGAAAUCAGUGUUUACUCGUUUGCGUUUGCCGGAUACGGAUAAGCCUCAACAGAGACAUUCCAUCCUCCCACGUUACUUCCAGUAAGUUGCAAGGCCUUAUCUACUGCGUCUUGUCCCCCCAGUAAACAAAUAACACCAUGACUGAAAUAACAACAACAACAACAACAACAAGUGAGCUGAUAUUUAACUUGAGCUGAUGAAUUGGAAAGAAAUGGAGGAGGAAGAAGCCACCAAAACCUGUUGAGACUCGUCUUAGUCUCAUCAAAUUUUAAGGGAACAUAAAUCUCCCAGAUCUCUCCACAUGAAGAGAAAUGUUCUGCCAACGCCGUGUAGACAUCAUCAAGAGGAAGACCAGUGUCAUAUCCCGUAACCUUGAUCCUCCCAACGUCACUGCAAUAAUAAUACUAUCAACGUGACAUCUGAAAACAUGCAUCAUCUUACACAUACCAAUUUCUCAAUUUACCUCAGUUUUGGAAUAUUAUUCCGUUUCGGAACCUAAAAAAGUACAAGAGAUCAAAUCAGAAACACUACUAACUAACUUGAAGUAAUUUUCUCACAAACUUGUGAAGAAACCAUCAAUUGAGAAACAAAGAUAAGAAACCAGAGUGAAUCAGAAAAGCCAUGAGUAAGAAGAAGAUUACCAUGGUGGAUGAGUACAUGGCUAAAAUUUGUUCGACAAGAGCGAGACUCGAUAACCGUUUUAGGGAUUUAGGUCUGAAGAGGGUAUUUAUAAUUGCUUUUUCUCUUUUGGGCCUUCCAAACAAUUUUGAUAACAAAAUAAUGUUUAAAUAUUAGAGAGACUCUUAAAAAAGGAGAGAGUUGAUCCAAAAACUCUUAGCUAAGAACCAUUUUUCUUAUUUUAAGCAUACUUUCUUAUUUUUUUAUUAUUAUUUUGUUUAAUAUAAUAUUUUGAUAGUUCUUGUGAUAUUUUUAAAAACCUAUUGAUAAAGAUGCUCUUAUGAGUUUUGUGAAGCUCCCUAAGACAAAAUUCCAAACCAAGUAAAAUAAAAAAAAACUUGUAAAUAAAAUCAAAUUUCGAAAUGUAAAAUUUGAUCUCGUAUGUGUUGUGUAAAAAAAGAGAAUCAAAUAAUUUUGCAGAAAGUAAAAGCCACUCAUCAAAAUCAUAAUGGUCAACAAGUGGCGCCAAAGUAGGCAUCGCUUGAAUCUAAUGAUCGAUUACUCUCAAUCUCAAAAAAAAAAAAAAAAAAAAAAGAUAACAACCGUUAAAUACAAAACUAUUCUCAAAAGUAAUAAUAUCUCCCUCUUCAUCAUCAUUGUGUUUCCCUCCCUAUUUUUGUUCCUCAUCUUCACCAUAUUGGUUUUUUGUGACAUCAAGACUGUGAAAUUUGAGAUUCAAGAUUUGUGUUUUUUUUUGUAGUGUUGAGGAAUGAGGAUGAGAGAAUAAGAUUCCAAUUGUAUUUAUAGUUUUGAUUUCCCCAAUUUACCUUGAUAGAUUUCGAAAUUUUUAUAGUUUUUCUGGCUUGAAAUAACGAGAGAAAUAAGAAAUUAUAUUGUAUCUUCUUAAUGUUUCACUUAAUUAAUUUAUUCUUUAUAUAAACUAAUAAAUACACUUUGAUAUGCUUACUUUUACUUAAUUUUUCGUUUAACUGCACCAAAUUAUGUGUUAUUUUUGGGAUUUCUGCUUUCUAAUAUACUACACUUUUGAUAUGAAACCUAUAUAUCCACCGCAAAUUCACUUUUUCUGUAGUGGACAUAACACGAAUUCACGAAGUAUUUUGUCGUUUGUUUGUUAAUUCAAAAGUAUCUCAUGCCACAUCUUCUUCACAAAUUAUGUGAUCACAAAGGUUAUUAUGGUCGCUUGGAAAAUGUUGCAAAUCUAAAAUAGCACAUUCACAAAACUCACGUUGCAAAACAUGAGCAAUCCAUAACAAGCUAUUCUUUAUAAUAUUCAUCAUCAUGUAAAAAUUGGGCUUAACUAACACAUCUCUAAAAAUUCAAGAAGAUGGUUUAGGCUUGCAAGAGCAUACUUGGAUAUCAAAGGACAAGUAGAGGACCACUGCUUGGUAACGUUUUGUCUGGUUACCAUCUUUAGGAUCAUUGGCUUCG
rnacentral:lncRNA from 1 species